GCCUAUUAUUACCGCCGUCGUCAGCUUACCCUGUGAAGGUCUAAUAGUAAGCAAAAUUGGUAAAACCCAAAACGCCAGGUCGAGGUGUAGCGAAUGAGAGGGGAAGAAAUGGGCUACAUUUCCUAAACCAGGAAAUACGGACAAUAUACUGAAACGUAUAUUAGAAGGAGGAUUUAGCAGUAAGCAGAAAAUAGAGCGUUCCGCUGAAACUGGCCCUGAAGCGCGCACACACCGCCCGUCACUCUCCCCGAGCUAACAUAAACACAUACCUAAAAACCGACACCUGCAAAGGGGAGGCAAGUCGUAACAUGGUAAGUGUACCGGAAGGUGCACUUGGAAAAAU
rnacentral:rRNA from 1 species